AAAUUGAAGAGUUUGAUCAUGGCUCAGAUUGAACGCUGGCGGCAGGCCUAACACAUGCAAGUCGAACGGUAACAGGAAGCAGCUUGCUGCUUUGCUGACGAGUGGCGGACGGGUGAGUAAUGUCUGGGAAACUGCCUGAUGGAGGGGGAUAACUACUGGAAACGGUGGCUAAUACCGCAUAACGUCGCAAGACCAAAGAGGGGGACCUUCGGGCCUCUUGCCAUCAGAUGUGCCCAGAUGGGAUUAGCUUGUUGGUGAGGUAACGGCUCACCAAGGCGACGAUCCCUAGCUGGUCUGAGAGGAUGACCAGCCACACUGGAACUGAGACACGGUCCAGACUCCUACGGGAGGCAGCAGUGGGGAAUAUUGCACAAUGGGCGCAAGCCUGAUGCAGCCAUGCCGCGUGUAUGAAGAAGGCCUUCGGGUUGUAAAGUACUUUCAGCGGGGAGGAAGGGAGUAAGGUUAAUAACCUUAUUCAUUGACGUUACCCGCAGAAGAAGCACCGGCUAACUCCGUGCCAGCAGCCGCGGUAAUACGGAGGGUGCAAGCGUUAAUCGGAAUUACUGGGCGUAAAGCGCACGCAGGCGGUCUGUCAAGUCGGAUGUGAAAUCCCCGGGCUCAA
rnacentral:rRNA from 1 species